rnacentral:rRNA from 1 species
AGUGGCGAACUGGUGAGUAACACGUGGGAAACCUGCCCAGAAGCGGGGGAUAACACCUGGAAACAGAUGCUAAUACCGCAUAACAACUUGGACCGCAUGGUCCGAGCUUGAAAGAUGGCUUCGGCUAUCACUUUUGGAUGGUCCCGCGGCGUAUUAGCUAGAUGGUGGGGUAACGGCUCACCAUGGCAAUGAUACGUAGCCGACCUGAGAGGGUAAUCGGCCACAUUGGGACUGAGACACGGCCCAAACUCCUACGGGAGGCAGCAGUAGGGAAUCUUCCACAAUGGACGAAAGUCUGAUGGAGCAACGCCGCGUGAGUGAAGAAGGGUUUCGGCUCGUAAAACUCUGUUGUUAAAGAAGAACAUAUCUGAGAGUAACUGUUCAGGUAUUGACGGUAUUUAACCAGAAAGCCACGGCUAACUACGUGCCAGCAGCCGCGGUAAUACGUAGGUGGCAAGCGUUGUCCGG